UACGUAGGUGGCAAGCGUUGUCCGGAUUUACUGGGCGUAAAGAGCGCGCAGGCGGUCGUUCAAGUCGCGUGUGAAAGCCCCCGGCUCAACUGGGGAGGGUCACGCGAUACUGAUCGACUCGAAGGCAGGAGAGGGUAGUGGAAUUCCCGGUGUAGUGGUGAAAUGGCGUAGAUAUCGGGAGGAACACCAGUGGCGAAGGCGGAGACCUGGGCCGAUACUGACGCUGAGGUGCGAAAGCGUGGGGAGCAAACAGG
rnacentral:rRNA from 1 species